GUGAAGAAGAAACUAACCAAAACAGAAAAUUACAAUUGUGCUGGUGAGUUAAAUUAGUUUAUUCCAAAAAUUAUCUGUGUUAGCGAACGGAAGGUUGCGCUAAAUUAGACGUAGGUGUAGUUAACUGCGUCGGUGACCUUUUGUACCACACGGAAGACGGAGCAUUGGAUGAAACCGUAAGCUAGCGUUGCUUUGUACGGUGUAGUUGUAAGUAUUUCAUUGAAGACAGUGAACGUUCGUAGUUUAAUGAGUUGUUUGAAUAGCAGGAGUGAAGUUAAAGAAGGAGAAAGCAAGAGGGAGAGCGAGUAAGAUCAAGGAAGAAGGUGGAUUCGUAAGAAAGGAGGAAACUAUUUGAGUGAGUAGUGGGAAGAAUUUCAAAUGUAAACAUAUUUGUUAACGCUAAUAAAUUAAAUUUCAGUUUUUGAGCUGCUCCGAAAA